rnacentral:rRNA from 1 species
ACUCCUACGGGAGGCAGCAGUGGGGAAUAUUGCACAAUGGGCGCAAGCCUGAUGCAGCCAUGCCGCGUGUGUGAAGAAGGCCUUCGGGUUGUAAAGCACUUUCAGUUGUGAGGAAGGUGGUGUCGUUAAUAGCGGCAUCAUUUGACGUUAGCAACAGAAGAAGCACCGGCUAACUCCGUGCCAGCAGCCGCGGUAAUACGGAGGGUGCGAGCGUUAAUCGGAAUUACUGGGCGUAAAGCGCAUGCAGGUGGUUUGUUAAGUCAGAUGUGAAAGCCCGGGGCUCAACCUCGGAACUGCAUUUGAAACUGGCAGACUAGAGUACUGUAGAGGGGGGUAGAAUUUCAGGUGUAGCGGUGAAAUGCGUAGAGAUCUGAAGGAUACCGGUGGCGAAGGCGGACCCCCUGGACAGAUACUGACACUCAGAUGCGAAAGCGUGGGGAGCAAACAGGAUUAGAUACCCUGGUAAGCACAGGG